GACGAACGCUGGCGGCGUGCUUAACACAUGCAAGUCGAACGGAGUGGCGAACGGGUGAGUAACACGUGGGUGACCUGCCCUGCACUUCGGGAUAAGCCUGGGAAACUGGGUCUAAUACCGGAUAGUGUGGGAUGGGCCAGCGGCCUAUCAGCUUGUUGGUGGGGUAAUGGCCUACCAAGGCGGCGACGGGUAGCCGGCCUGAGAGGGUGGACGGCCACAUUGGGACUGCGACACGGCGCAGACGCGUACGGGAGGCAGCAGUGGGGAGUAUUGCACAAUGAUGGGAAGCGUGAUGCAGCGACGCCGGGGGGGGGAGGACGUCCUGCGGGGUGUAAAGUCCGUUCACCAUCGACGCGGUAGAUGGAGAAGAAGCACCGGCUAACUACGUGCCAGCAGCCGCGGUAAUUC
rnacentral:rRNA from 1 species